rnacentral:rRNA from 1 species
GUGAGGAAUUUUCCGCAAUGGGCGAAAGCCUGACGGAGCAAUGCCGCGUGAAGGAUGAAGGCCUAUGGGUUGUAAACUUCUUUUCUCAGAAAAGAAUUAUGACGGUAUCUGAGGAAUAAGCAUCGGCUAACUCUGUGCCAGCAGCCGCGGUAAGACAGAGGAUGCAAGCGUUAUCCGGAAUGAUUGGGCGUAAAGCGACUGUAGGUUGUUUAAAAAGUAUUCUGUCAAAGAUUAGGGCUUAACCCUAGAUAGGCAGAAUAAACUUUUAAGCUAGAGUUUGGUAGAGGCAGAGGGAAUGCCCGGUGGAGCGGCGAAAUGCGUAGAUAUCGGGAGGAACACCAAAGGCGAAGGCACUCUGCUGGGCCAAUACUAACACUGAGAGACGAAAGCGAGGGGAGCAAAUGGGAUUAGAAACCCGUGUAGUCC